ensembl:lncRNA
GUUGUUUUUUUAUUUUAUUUUAUUUUUAAUUUCUUCUGAACUUUUCUGUUAGACCUUUUGUAUUUCCUUCCAUAUGCAGCACUUUGGCAUCUGCCUGUGGGAGCAGGUUUCUGCAACAGGUGCCUCAGUAACCUGUUACUGGGUCAAUGCAGCAGUGCUUUCAGCCAAAACACCUGUUGAUGCAUCAGGAAAAAUGACACAGAGGCCUGCUCAGCCACAGGAGGGACCCAGGUGCUGGUGUCAUCAUGAAACCCUCAGUGAUGGGGAGCCAAGCUUCACCUCCAGCCCAGGCUCUGCACAGAGAGAUGGAUGGCUCCAGGGACUCAGCAGCAGCAAAUCAGACUCAGUGCCACAAACAGGGCCUAGAACAAAUGGUUCAAAUGUCCAUGAACUGCUUGGAGGAAAAGGCAGCAGCAGGAUCAGGUUAUUGUGUGGAUUGGAUUCUGCCCUUGGGGCCACAGCUGGACCAGACACAGCCAGAGAACACAGCCAGCAUUGUCCCUCCUUCAGUCCACAACCACCAUGCAGAGCACACCUUGUCUGAAAUAACAGGUCUUCAUAGGAUCCUUCUGCUUGAGAGAUGAUAUCACAGAUUAUAUCUGUGUCCACUUUAGGUCUGGACUGUUGCUAAGAGAAAAACAAUUCUUGGCAAAUUCCUCCAAGUGCUUUCCUCAUACAGUUUGGAUGGAGAUAGUUUUUCCAAGAAAGAUGGGUAGGUGUGAAUUUGUCUCUUCACCUUCUGAGAAUUGUUUUCACCAGUGCAAAACUGAAGAUGAUAAUGCUCCCGUUAAAAAUGAGGUGAAUGCUCAGUCUAACAUGAAUGGGUGGAAAGGACUUCAAACAGAUGAAUCUGAGGACAAAGUUACCCUUGCCAAGACAAACAGCUGCAGAGAGCUGCAGGAAAGAAAAAGGGCACUGCUGUUCAAAAUGAUUCAGUCACACAGGGCUGAUUGAGGCUGUGUAUCCAUCAAUUUAUAAUGAAAACCAAUGGCUUUCAUAUGAAGAAAGAAAAGGUACAUCAUAUGUCACACAGGAGGAGUGGAGAACUGAUAUCAUAGGACAACAAACUGAUUCUCCAUAGGACAACAGAGAUACAGGAUGAGCACAAAGCAGAAAGCUCUCACUCUCCUUCCUACAUCUGUCUUUCAUUUGCUUUGCUCUAUCUGCCUGUUGAUGUUUUCUCACAUUAUCUUGGUCCCUUUGUUCAAGCUGUAUUUCAUUCCAGGAAGGCAGGGAGCUCCAGGUGUGAAUGAGGGCCGUGAGCACGAACUCACUGUCCCAGUUAUUAUUGUUAUCAUUCCUCUGAAAACCGGCCUGGUGGAGCUUUGGCUCUGUGGAAUUUGUUCUGCUGUUUAACCAUACCCCUGUUAAAUGUGAAAAAUGGAAUGAAAGUGGAAUGAAAAUGUGGAAAGUGGAAUGAAGUGCAGUGCUUUGCACGAUGGCUUGCACCCAAAGGUGCAGCCUUAGCUAAUGAAGUGCUGGCAUGCUGUGGAGCAAGAUGUUUGGGAUUGUAGGAUUGGGACCUGCUGCUCAAAUGAAUCAGC